rnacentral:rRNA from 1 species
ACACUGCUAGUCGAGCGGAUCACGAUGAAGCAGCUUUGCUUCGCUUCGCUGACGAGUGGCGGAGGGGAGAGUCAUGUGUGGGACCCUGCCUGAUGACUGGGGAUAACUACGGAAAACGGAACUUAAGACCGAAAAACGUCGCAAGACCAAGGAGGGGGACCUUCGGACCUCUUGGCUUCGGAUGUGCCCUGAUCCCAUUACCUAGUAGGUGGGGUAACGGGUCAUGUAUGCCACGAGCCCUAAUUGGUCUGAGAGGAUGACCGGCCACACUGGACCUGGGACCUGGUCCACACUCCUAACUCAGGCAGGAGUGGGGAAUAUUGCAUCUGGGCGCUGGCCUGAUGCCUGAUGCCGCGCGUAUGAAGAAGGCCUUCGGGUUGUAAAAUACUUUCACUCGGGGAUGAAGGAAAAAAGGUUGAUAACCUUGCUGAUUGACGUUACCCGCAGACUAAGCACCGGCUAACUCCGUGCCACCAGCCGCGGUAAUACGGAGGGCGCAAGCGUUAAUCGGAAUUACUGAAUUAUUGAGCGCACGCCGCGCGUCUGUCAAGUUCGGAUGUGAAGAUCCCCGGGCUCAACCUGGGACCUGCAUUCGAAACUGGAAACUAGAGUCUUUGUAGAGGGGGGUAGAAUUCCAGGUGUCCAUGUGUAAAUGCGUAAAGAUCUGGAGGAAUACCGGAACACCAAGUGCGGCCCCCUGACACUUCUGACUGACGCUCUGAGUGCUGAAAGCGUGAGAGAGCAAACGAGAUUAGAUGACCCUGAUACCCCCACGCCGCCACACCAUGUCACACAUGAGAGGUUGUGCGCUUUGAGGCGUGGCUUCCCGUUAGCUGCUGCGUUAAGUCGAUCGCCUGGUCCAGCACGGGGCGCACGAUCAAAACUCUGAUGAAUCUGACGGGAGGUCACGCGACGACCGGCACGAGCAUGUGGAUUUUAUGUGCGAUGCAUCGCAAACAACGCUUUACCAUACUCUACGACAUC